AUAAAUUACUGUCAUGUAUGGUGACAUUGAUAUAUUUUAAAUGAUAAUACCUAUGGAUAUUCAAAAUUUUAUAUGGAUUGUUUGAGAAAGUUGUCGCUUGAUUUAGAGUACGUUCGUUAUUUAGAAAUCUAAGAAAAGAAAAUGAUUUGUUUUACAUAAUCGAAGCUUAAAGUAUCCUUGUAUUCAAACAUUUACAUCAUGAGCAUAAAAUAUUUUUUUUCUGAAAAAAAUAGUUUCCAUGGGCUUUGCUUGCCACGCUUCCUUGCAUUCGUUUGCACGGG
rnacentral:lncRNA from 1 species